rnacentral:tRNA from 1 species
GAGAUGAUGGCUCAGUGGUUAAGAGCAAUGGCUGCUCUUCCAGAGGACCUGGGUUCAAUUCCCAGUCCUUACA